rnacentral:misc_RNA from 1 species
GUUUGUAUCAAUGGUAUCAGAGCCAUCCACUAUUCCUCCUAGUUGUAAUCAUGCGGCGUGGCACAGAUGGUGAUGCUGGAAUAACAGUGUUCACCCAGGGCUAGACUAAACUAGCACAAACCAGCUUGCAUGGGCAUUGGGAUUGCGGAGCGUGGUGGAAUGAUAUAAUCCCAUUGCAAGGAAACUUGUGUCCCAUGUUGAAAGUAUGGGAUUUCAAUAUAGGUCAUAUAUGGACUUGGCUCUCCAACCUUAACGGUUAGCUUUUGGAGUGUGAUUCUCUUAACUUCGUAUCAGGUUGGGGAUGAAAGAAACUGAACAUGUUGUUAACUUGAUGCUGCACAUGACUUUUUUAAAAUUAGGCUCCAUUUGUUUUACGGAAAAUAACUUG